rnacentral:rRNA from 1 species
GACGAAGGUGGCAAGCGUUACUCGGAAUUACUAGGCGUAAAGCGACGAGCAGGCGGUUCGGAAAGUCUGUCGUGAAAGCCCCGGGCUCAACCCGGGGAGGUCGAUGGAUACUUCUGGACUUGAAUACGGGAGAGGUCACUGGAAUUCCUGGUGUAGCGGUGAAAUGCGUAGAUAUCAGGAGGAACACCGGUGGCGAAGGCGGCUUUCUGGACAGAAACUGACGCUGAGGCGCGAAAGCUAGGGGAGCAAACAGG